UGGGGAAUAUUGCACAAUGGGCGCAAGCCUGAUGCAGCGACGCCGCGUGCUGGAUGGAGGCCUUCGGGUUGUAAACCGCUUUUGUUCAAGGGCAAGGCAGGCUUUCGGGCCUGUUGAGUGGAUUGUUCGAAUAAGCACCGGCUAACUACGUGCC
rnacentral:rRNA from 1 species